UCCAGACUCCUACGGGAGGCAGCAGUGGGGGAUAUUGCACAAUGGGGGGAACCCUGAUGCAGCGACGCCGCGUGGGUGAAGGAGCGUUUCGGCGCGUAAAGCCCUAUCGGCAGGGAAGAAGCAAGACGGCACCUGACUAAGAAGCCCCGGCUAACUACGUGCCAGCAGCCGCGGUAAUACGUAGGGGGCGAGCGUUAUCCGGAUUCACUGGGUGUAAAGGGAGCGUAGACGGCCAAGCAAGCCAGGGGUGAAAGCCCGGGACCCAACCCCGGGACUGCCCUUGGAACUGCUUGGCUGGAGUGCGGGAGGGGCAGGCGGAAUUCCUGGUGUAGCGGUGAAAUGCGUAGAUAUCAGGAGGAACACCGGCGGCGAAGGCGGCCUGCUGGACCGCGACUGACGUUGAGGCUCGAAAGCGUGGGGAGCGAACAGGAUUAGAUACCCCAGUA
rnacentral:rRNA from 1 species